AGCUGAAGCUUGUCAUCAGUGACAUAAAUCAAACAAGAUGAAUAAAGAGACAGAACCAGAGCUGGGGAAGCAAGGCAUCGACACACAAGGCGUGAACAAAAUCCGAAACCACCGAUGAAAAUAGCCGGCGAAGGUCAAAGGAAAGGUAUCGGUGCUCCGACAAACACCCCAACUGCAGAACUUCUUAACACAACAAAAGAUGACUAUAACAAAAGUGUUACACCCAUUGAUCUGUGAUUGUUGUUCUUCUCAUGUCCCGAAAAAAGGUCAUGAAAGACAUCAUGGCCUCGUUUAUGUCAUCAGCCACGUCAACAUAACCAACCCCUAUUUGUGCUUGUGGCUACGGGUACUGUAUUAUCAAGAUUUCAGGUUCUGCGAAAAAAACUCAAGUCAUGGGUACUACCAAUGCCCUCGUGGAGUGGUGAGUACAAACACCUUCAAUGUUUAAUUUGCUUUUAAAACUGUCACUAAUACAAUUUUUAACUUAAGCCAUGUGUCAUGCGUCAAUCCUACCCUUAUCCUAUUAAAAAUCGUCACCAUUUUGUUUUGUGGGCAAUACACUUCUAUGUUAUGCUUAUAAACGUCUAUUUAUCAUAUGCUUCGCCCAUGUGUGUUGUACACCUAGUGUUGGUGUUUAUUGUUGAUAAAAAAAAAAAAAAA